rnacentral:rRNA from 1 species
AGUGUAGCUGGAAGGAGAAUUCAGCUUUCUGCACGUUAUUGCUGGAGCAUCGGAUUUUAGAGUUGCAUUUAAAUGCAUCAAGAUCACCAUGUAUUGGGCAACCAGUGUAUGGCCUUGAGCUCUAUUAUCUUUGCUGUGUUCCAGGAUACUCUAAGCAAUAUGUGUGUAGAGAGUGCACUUUCUCAUCUUCCGUGCUCGAGCCUCGACCGAUGUGAAAGGGAUCCAGCAAAUCCCGUAUCCUCGUGAUCAUAGAAAGGUGUGCUAACACCACGUCUGAUCUGUGAACAGUUAUCAUUGCUAUUGGUUCACACCAUAAAUAGUAUAUGAGAUGUCGCAGGUAUCUAUGUAUUCACAAGCACAUCGGAGAAGAAUUUCUGCUUUUGCAGGAUCAACACAAUGCCUAUCAGGGUGCCAGUCAAUUGGAAUCAUAUUUCGGCAAUUGAUUCAUGUUUGUUUACCAUGUAUUCAAACUGUUCAUGGUUAUAUGAUUCUCUGGUGAUUGAUUGGAUGCACAUCCUGGUGGGUUAAUUUGUGUGUAGAUUUUGUGAUUCAGAGGCAAGUAGAUCGGUAUUCUAUUCGACCCGUCUUGAAACACGGACCAAGGAGUCUAACAUAUAUGCAAGCUAAACAGUCUUGAAAAGGCUUGUAAAGCAAAUUGAAGAAAAUUGGUAUGAUGUGAAGGUAUUCUUCUUGUUUUAUAAUGUGGAACAAGUUACCUCACCGCAAUACCAGCCUACGGUAAAUCCUCUUUACAGAGAUUUCCGCAGAGUUUUAGUAUAUAUGCUAGUACCCGAAAGAUGGUGAACUAUGCCCGGGCAAGAUGAAGCCAGAGGAAACUCUGGUGGAGGUCUGUAGCGAUUCUGACGUGCAAAUCGAUCGUCAGAUCCGGGUAUAGGGGCGAAAGACUAAUCGAAC